CCUACGGGAGGCAGCAGUGGGGAAUAUUGGGCAAUGGGCGCAAGCCUGACCCAGCAACGCCGCGUGAAGGAAGAAGGCCCUCGGGUUGUAAACUUCUUUUAACAGGGACGAAGAAAGUGACGGUACCUGUUGAAUAAGCCACGGCUAACUACGUGCCAGCAGCCGCGGUAAUACGUAGGUGGCAAGCGUUAUCCGGAUUUACGGGGUGUAAAGGGCGUGUAGGCGGGAGAGCAAGGCAGACGGGAAAUGCGAGGGCUCAACCCUGGAACUGGGUUUGAAACUGUUCUUCGUGAGUGAUGGAGAGGCAGGCGGAAGUCCGGGUGUAGCGGUGAAAUGCGUAGAUAUACGGAGGAACACCAGUGGCGAAGGCGGCCUGCUGGACAUUAACUGACGCUGAGGCGCGAAAGCGUGGGGAGCAAACAGGAUUAGAUACCCGAGUAGUC
rnacentral:rRNA from 1 species